CUGAAAUAAGGAAGAAGGACCUUCUAAACUUCCAGCACUUUUCGUCUUGUUGAGUGGCCAUGAGUUCUCAUGGAUAGUGGUCGGAGCAGAGGGUGUCUUAACACCUGGAAGGAAGAGGAUGCUGAAUUUGGAUAAUUCCUGGAAAAGAUGACUCCAUGGAGCAUUGGUUACCUGAUCUGUUAUGCUGCUCUGAACUGGUGUUGGGAAACAACGGAAGUGUACAAACUAGCUCAUUGUCCAAGAUGAAUCUUUUUGUCACAGCAGACCCUGCAGCAUGGCCUAGGCAGUGCAUACUAGGCAGAAGCUGCUGUGCUGGUUGAUGCUCUUGGAUGGUUCCGUUUGGACCCCUGCCUGAUGAUACUUUAAAAUCUCCCAUGGAGAAACUGCUACAUGUUAACCAGAAACUCCGGAGUGAAGUGGGACGCCUGCUCAGCUGGAGACUACAAUUCCCAGCCUCCUUUGCAGGUAGGUGCAUGGGUCUGAGUAAGUGUUAGGCCAGAGGAGUAUGAGAAAGCCAUUCUCUUAUCUCCCUCUGUUGUAAGAGUCUUCUUAUCUACCAGUUCCCCAUGGAGUCAUUGAAGUCUAAAUCUGUAUUCCUGGUACAUUAGAGGGUCCUUUAAAUGUUUACUAAAUAAUGAAGGAAUUAAGGAAUACCCUGUACAUCAGUUGCCUCUGUUGAUUGGGGUCCUCUUCCAAUUCUCUUCAAGAAUUGCAGAAAACAUCCUGUCUGUUCCUGAUGUUGACAAAAUUGUCAAUAGCAGUUGAUUGGAUUUCAAUAAUUAAUCCCUCUCACAUCUCACCUGCCACAUGUAUGUUGGGGCAGAACGCCCACUUGUGCAUACCUUCAUGUUUCCACAGUCCACAAAAUAAAUCCAUCAAAAUGCCCAGCUCUCUCUCCAACGGUGUCAACCUAUUAUAUUUGUGUGCUGCUAUAUUAUUCAGCCAAUGUUAAA